GGCUCUGUUAUCAAUCGACAAUGAUGUCCUCGUCUCUCUUGCUCUCCUCUCGGCCUCCUCCUCGUAAUCAAUCGACGAUGAUCUUUCCUCGUCUCUCCCGCUCUCCUCUCGGCCUCCUCAUCGAUUUUGAUCCAACCUCGUCUCUCUCGUUCUCCUCUCGACCUCCUCGUCGAUGAUCAACGACUCGUCUCUCUCGCUCUCCUGGACGAUGAAUCUCUCGGCGUCUCGCGGUGUCGAUCUCCUCGAGGAUGAAAAUCCUCCAUCUCUCCUCUACGAAAUCAAAAGAAAGUGCAUUCGAUGGAGCAAAACAGGAAGGAUCGUUUGCAAGCAGAGGAGUGCUUUCCAUGUACGGAUAAAAGCGUUAUGGAUACGUUAGGUAGGUAAUGUGUUUGGUCUGUUUGCAUUGAUGGUCUGUUUGCAAAAAAUAAGUUAUGAUCAACUGAGAAAUUGCCAAUAACGACAGAUAAAAGAAACAUAGGUCAUUCGUUCGUUACUCGUCUCCCUGGCUACGCAACCUAGCAAGCUUGUUGGUAACGACGAUGUCAAGCUGGGAAGCUCUCUCCACAAUGGCUUUCCUCUUCUUUGUUGAUACAUUGUGAGCAAUCUCCGCACAGUAAGUCCUG